rnacentral:rRNA from 1 species
UAAGUAGGCGGAGGAAAUGACACAAACAUGGAUUCACUGAGUAACUGCGAGUGACAUGUGAUUUGCUCACAGCUGAUAUUCUUUGCUGUCUGCUUUGACAUGAGGACUUUGAGUGCGGUGCCAAUGGUGGUGUAAGUGUGAGCCAUCUUUGAAAAGAGGAGAGUGUGCACUGACAAGGGUGAGAAGCCUGUGUGUGCUUGCAAAAUCUCCAUAUGGGGGUCACGCUUUGAGAAUCAUGCUCUUAAAGUGGGUGGUAGACUCUUCUCAAAGCUGAGUACAGAACUGGGACCGACAGGGAAGAAGUACCAUGAGGGAAGUGUGAAAAGGACUUUGGAAAGAGACUUAAAAGAGCCUGUACUUGCUGAAGGAUAUGCAUACAGCAUGCUUGCAUGUGAGAUGAUUGCUGUGUGUAUGAGUCUGACUUUGGCUGGAUGGCCAUGGCCGUGUGCCAUGGACACUUGGCCACCCAAUGUGUAUCCUCUUGUGUGUGCCAGCAUGUGGGAGACAGUCAGUGUUUGAGUGCAGUGGUUGCUGUGUCUGGGGAUACAUCAGAUGUGCACUCAAAGAUCUGAGCAUGUUGAGAAGCAGGUGCAGAAGGGCCCUCCUGUCUGUAUGACCCGUCUUGAAACACGGACCAAGGAGUCUAGCAUGAGUGCAAGCAUAUGGGACCGAAGGCUCUGUGUGCAAUGAAGGUGGAGUCCCAGAUUUGUGCAUGAGUGUUCAAACAAGCAGGAGGACAAGGUUUGAGUCUGAGCAUUCCUGACAGGACCCGAAAGAUGGUGAACUAUGCCCGGAAAGGGCCAAGUCAGGGGAAACUCUGGUGGAGGCUCGUAGCGUUACUGACGUGCAAAUCGUUCGUCACACCUGGGUAUGGGGGCGAAAGACUAAUCGAACCAUCUAGUAGCUGGUUCCCUCUGAAGUUUCCCUCAGGAUAGCUGAACUUGCAGGACUUUCACCAGGUAAAGCGAAUGAUUGGAGGAAUUGGGGGUUGCAGACCUUUGACCUAUUCUCAAACUUUUAAUGGCUAAUGAUGACUCUUAGUGGGCCACUUUUGGUAAGCAGAACUGGCGAUGAGGGGUGAACCUGAUGAUGGGUUAAGGCACUGAAGUUCUCGCUCAUCAGAAACUGUAAAGGGUGUUGGCUCAUUCUGACAGCAGGUCGGUGGUCAUGGAAGUUGAAAUCCGCUUGGGAGUG